GCUUUAAGCCCAUUCCCCACUUGAGACUUGGGACUACUUCAGGGAUGCUCUGAACGCUGGGCCAUGUCCAGGAGGUCAGCCUCAGGAAAGGUGGAGGUUGAAUGGAGGGUGGUCCUAAGGCGGUGCUGACUCCACCUCCAGGGGCUUGCAAGAAGAAGGGGUCCUCUGCCUAUUUAAAGGGGCCAUCUGUUCACAAUAGAACAGGUUCCUGCAUACAGAGGGCGAAGGGUUAACACCAAUUCUUAACCUGGAAAGGCCAGGUGAGCCCCCCAGGAAUUCCAACUAUUCAUCCACCUGACAAGUUUUUGUUUUCUUUUCUUUUUUUAAGUCGGCUUCUCAAGGCUGGGCUCAAACCCUGAGAUCAAGACGUGAGCUGAGAUCAAGAGUCAGAUGCUUAGCACAUGGAGCCAUCCCGGAGCCCUCUGCCAAGCUUUUAUGGAACACCUACUACAUGCAGACGUCACCCUCAGUUCCCUUUGGGAGAUACAAUCAAAUCUUUGACAUGAUGGUUGUCUGUCACUACAAAUGACCCCUUGAUGAAUGAAAGCUGUAUGGUGGUGGGAACUUCGUCCUCAGUGCUAGCACUGAGCCUACCACAUGGUUGCCAGGGAUGCCAUGGAAGGUUGUAAAGGUUGUUCACUGCAUCAGAGCUCCUGGCUGGGGAGCGGGCGCUGACAUCUGGCCUGUUCUCUGCUCUCCAUGCACUGGGGGCAUCCAGCAAGUUGCCUUCUGCUAUUUUGCAAUGUGUGCUGUAUGGGCUGGUUGUGGCUCUGUGAUGGGUGUUCAAUAAAUAUUCAUUGAAUACA